CAGCAGUGAGGAAUCUUCCACAAUGGGCGAAAGCCUGAUGGAGCAACGCCGCGUGCAGGAUGAAGGCCUUCGGGUUGUAAACUGCUUUUAUGAUUGAGGAAUUUGACAGUAGAUCAUGAAUAAGGAUCGGCUAACUACGUGCCAGCAGCCGCGGUCAUACGUAGGAUCCGAGCGUUAUCCGGAGUGACUGGGCGUAAAGAGUUGCGUAGGCGGUUUGUUAAGUGAAUAGUGAAAUCUGGUGGCUCAACCAUACAGGCUAUUAUUCAAACUGGCAAACUCGAGAGUGGUAGAGGUCACUGGAAUUUCUUGUGUAGGAGUGAAAUCCGUAGAUAUAAGAAGGAACACCGAUGGCGUAGGCAGGUGACUGGACCAUUUCUGACGCUAAGGCACGAAAGCGUGGGGAGCGAACCGGAUUAGAUACCCGGGUAGUCCACGCCGUAAACGAUGGAUACUGGCUGUUGGAGGUAUCGACCCCUUCAGUAGCGAAGCUAACGCGUUAAGUAUCCCGCCUGUGGAGUACGGCCGCAAGGCUAAAACAUAAAGGAAUUGACGGGGACCCGCACAAGCGGUGGAUCAUGUUCUUUAAUUCGAUGAUAAACGAAGAACCUUACCAGGGUUUGACAUCCCGAGAAGAUUUACGAAAGUAGAUUGUGCCUUUUGGAACUCGGUGACAGAUGAUGCAUGGCCGUCGUCAGCUCGUGUCGUGAGAUGUUUGGUUAAGUCCAUCAACGAGCGCAACCCUUGCAACUAGUUGGAUUUUUCUAGUUGGACUGCUUCGGUAACGGAGAGGAAGGAGGGGAUGAUGUCAGGUCAGUAUUUCCCUUACGUCCUGGGCUAGAAACACGAUACAAUGGCUAGUACAAUGCGCAGCAAAGCCGCGAGGUGGAGCAAAUCGCAUCAAAGCUAGUCCCAGUUCGGAUUGGAGGCUGAAACUCGCCUCCAUGAAGUCGGAAUCGCUAGUAAUCGCAGAUCAGCAAGCUGCGGUGAAUACGUUCCCGGGUCUUGUACACACCGCCCGUCAAACCAUGAAAGUGACCAACACCCGAAGUCCGAUUCGUCGGCCUAAGGUGGGGGGCAUGAUUGGGGUUAAGUCGUAACAAGGUAUCCGUACCGGAAGGUGCGGAUG
rnacentral:rRNA from 1 species